GUCUCCUGAAAACUUUGAACCAGAAAUCUACGAUCGUGAGGGCAAGGGAGCAUACAGGUUCCAGUGCCCCAGUGCAGGUCUGUUCCAGUGCAGUAUAACAGGCCUGGUGUUUAGGAUGGAGGGAGAGGGAGAGGUGCUCUAUAGGACAGUCCCCUGGAACAGGAGGCUUCUAGCCCAGAGUGGCAAGAGACCUGCAGGACCCCUGUUCAAGUUUACAUGCCUUAAGGGGUCUGUCUGCCAACUACACCUCCCACACUGUCAGAUUCAUUCUGGAGGCAAGGAGAGUAUGCGAGGAAUUGAGGAAAUCCAAUUGAGAUUCUGUUUCUUUCCUAGAGGGUGGAUGUGACUUCCUGUCUGUAGCCCAUGUGACUGAUGAUGACAAAGUGGAGUUUAUCCAUCCUCUUGAGAUAACA